UAUUUCACAUCCCAUGCUGCCAUCAGAAAUGCAGAAGGAUGUUCUGUCUGGAGACUGGGAUUCUGCUGUUGACCAGUUGAGCAUUCCAGUAACCAAGGCAACAAAAGCCUCUGUUCUACUUAGAGGAAAUUGGGGAGCUGGCCUAAUACUGUCUGGAAAUUGCCUCUGGCAGACAACAGUCCUCCAGUGCCAGCCAGCCUGGUGGGAGAUGGACACCCCACUAUUCCACAGAAGUGAGCCUGCUGCCACUGUCCCCUGCCACUCAGGGGCUAGUUCUCAGCUCUAGUUCACCUUCCUCCGUACUCCCCCUUAGCAGAGGUUGCUCCCUUUCCUUGCCUUUUAGAUAUUGAAUUAAUGCAAUUAAUUCAGGUCCGAUAGGAAAAAGGAACCUCCCUCCUGUUACCCAAAGUCACAAGCUAGCAGCCUCACCAUCCAUAGAAUCCAUCACCUCUCCAGGCUUACAUCCCACCACUGGUUCUCACGCUGCUCCAGGGUCUCUAGGAAGACUUGACCAUUGCUUCUUGUCACCCCCAACGCUUCUUCCUCAACACUUCCUCCCACUGCUCCUUUACCCAGUGCCGGAGCACCUCUGACAAAACACACCUCUCACCUCCAAGAAACACCAAAUGCUCCCCACAACCCAAACCUACAAGCACACAGCAUCCACCUGGUCCAGUUCUUCUGCUGCAGUACAGACCACAGAGAGGAAAAUCUUUGGAUAUGGAACACAGUGAGAGGAAGGAUGGGAAGUAGGGAAACCAAGAAUAAACACAGACUUCCCUCUACCAACUCUGCAGAAUUCAGGGAAAAAUAUUAAUAUAAAAGGCUCUCUAACAGUGUCACUGAGUACGGGAGUACCCUUGGCAUCUAGGCACUGUCAAAAAGCUAAAGGAAUUUGUUGGUCUUUGUCUCCAGCUGAGCUCUGAAUAGUUUUUCACCUUUUUAUUUUUUUAAGUUUUUUACAGUUAAACUUGUGCAAACACUGACUAUUAUGUAGUGAACAAGAAAAAAAAUCGAUAAAAUGCUUCUUAGAAUAUUCUUUCCUUUUUUUUCUAUUUUGUUGUUGUUAUUAUUGUUUGUUUUAUUUUGUUUCCCUCUACUAGAAACUAGCCGUAGUGAUCACAUGCAGAUCUGUGUUUGCUUCAGUGUUAUAUUACUGCAACUAAAAUUAGAAUCUGGACUGAAACAUUUGGUAUGUAGUUCUGAACUAGCAAGUAUGCAAUUAGGGUGUAAAAUGUUGAUAUCUGCUGCAUCCAAUAGUUCUGCCCAAGUAAAGCACAUUCCUACCUGAAUUCCCUCCACAAACAUCUUGAAUUAACUGACAUUAUCAUAAUAAAAACAUCUUGGGCUUUAUGUCAAUUUCAGAAACUGGCAUUUCAGAAGCCGACAGAUUUCUUCUUCUUUGGACAGAUGAAGAGAAGAAUACUUGCUACAUUAUUUUCCUUCACUAUUCUGGGCAACAAUUCUCCAAAUUGUUCCACUGCUCACAUAAAUACUUACUCUAAUGUUGUUUUUCUGUUUCACACCUUUGAGAGAUACCAAAGCUACUGCAAUAGGGUGAAGACAACCCCACAUUCUUAAUAUAUGUCCACAAGUCUCAAUUUUGCCUUGUAAAUACUUUAUUCUGUUACAAUGAGAAAUUAUUUCAAAUAUCAAAAUUCUGCAUAGUACAAGAACUGUAUUUUUUUGAAAAGCUCUCAAAUUGAGUACUUUAUGAUCAUACGUUUGACAUAGAUGUAGUAGAUAUGAGCUAUGAGAAGUUCUGGUGAGUAAGGUUAAUGAAAUUCAGAUAAAUUAUUUGAUUUCAUCUCGGAUAUGUCAUUAAGCCUUCAUCUGAUUUUAUAACUCACAAACACACACAAAAAAAAAGGAUCUUAAAUGUCCUUAAAAAUGACAAAAAAACAUAUUGCCAUGAGCAUCACAGUAUCACUUAUAAAAGGAAAUCUCAUGCUUUAUGCCAACUUCAUAUAUGCUUGUUCAUUUUGGAGAAGAGUGGGAACCGAGAUGAUUUUUGUCUGCAUUGUCAUCCUUUCUUUUCAGUCAAGAUAGAUAUAAUGUCUACUCAUUAUUAUUGCUUCUCUGAGGAAUUUACUAUUGCUUUACUGAUAUGUGAAACAUCAUAUCUCACAUAUCUCAUAUAACAUUCAUCGUUAUAUUGCACAAAUUGCAGUUGUGGUUAGACACAUCAUUGUUCACAUUUACUCAUUCUGUUGUCAUUCUCUGAAUUGUUAAGCAGCUGCAAAUCUUCACCUCAGAGAGAGCUGCACAGUAGUGAUGCGCAAAAGUAGAGAUAAUGGGGUUUUAUAGUUUGCAUAAAGCUGCCCAUAACUUUCAGCAUGAUUCUUUAGAAGCUGAUUAAAAUAUCUGAAUGAUAAUAUAAACUUCAUCCGUCAAAAUCUGUGAGCAACCUACAUCCACCUUGUCCCACAGAGCUCUAUCAGACUUGUCAGAAAAACUACAAAAGGACUGUAAAGUGAAAAAGCCUUUUGCUAUACUGGACUAAUUUUCUGAUAAUUUCAGACAGUGGAAUAUUCUUGUAUAUGUUUGUUAGGAGACUGUAGUCUCCUGCUAGAAUGGAAAGAAACAUUCAAAUACUGUAUUCGCAAAGUGUUUCAGAAAGGCCAUUGUAGGAUGGACUCAGUCACAAACUAGUGGCUUCAUCCACAUUUAAUCCAUUAUAUGAUGAGGUAUUUAAUGGAUUUUAGCCUUUAACAUGUUACCACACAGGAACAAUUUCUGUGCGGAUUUUGGCUUUGUUUUACUUUCUUUCUAAUCAAAAUGUGUCCAGCUAAGCCUCUGUUCUGCAAAUUCCAUGAAGAACUCAAUCUAAUGAGUGAGAUUUUGACAGGUAUUCAAUUUGGGUUUAGUAGUUUUUUUAUUUGUUGUAUUGUUUUGUUUGUUGAAUGAAAUGUCUUUGGUAUGUUUCAAUAAAGGUAUUUGU